AGAGGUGGCAAGCGUUGUUCGGAAUUACUGGGCGUAAAGGGCGCGUAGGCGGCCUUCUAAGUCGAACGUGAAAUCCCCGGGCUCAACCCGGGAACUGCGUCCGAUACUGGGAGGCUUGAAUCCGGGAGAGGGAUGUGGAAUUCCAGGUGUAGCGGUGAAAUGCGUAGAUAUCUGGAGGAACACCGGUGGCGAAGGCGGCAUCCUGGCCUGUUCUUGACGCUGAGGCGCGAAAGCUAGGGGAGCAAACGGGAUUAGAUACCCCGGUAGUCCUAGCCGUAAACGAUGGACACUAGGUGUUGGUGGUAUCAACCCCGCCAGUGCCGAAGCUAACGCAUUAAGUGUCCCGCCUGGGGAGUACGGCCGCAAGGCUA
rnacentral:rRNA from 1 species